rnacentral:snRNA from 1 species
GCUGCAGCAGCACAUACUCAAAUUGGAACAAUACAGAGAAGAUUAGCAUUGCCCCCACUCAAGGAUGACAUGCAAAUUCAUGAAAUAUGCCAUAUUAAA